rnacentral:rRNA from 1 species
UAGGGAAUCUUCCACAAUGGACGCAAGUCUGAUGGAGCAACGCCGCGUGAGUGAAGAAGGUCUUCGGAUCGUAAAACUCUGUUGUUAGAGAAGAACGCGAGUGAGAGUAACUGUUCAUUCGAUGACGGUAUCUAACCAGCAAGUCACGGCUAACUACGUGCCAG